rnacentral:rRNA from 1 species
UACGUAGGGUGCAAGCGUUGUCCGGAAUUAUUGGGCGUAAAGAGCUUGUAGGCGGUUUGUCGCGUCUGCUGUGAAAUUUCGGGGCUCAACCCCGGGCCUGCAGCCGAUACGGGCAGACUAGAGUUCGGCAGGGGAGACUGGAAUUCCUGGUGUAGCGGUGAAAUGCGCAGAUAUCAGGAGGAACACCGGUGGCGAAGGCGGGUCUCUGGGCCGAUACUGACGCUGAGGAGCGAAAGCGUGGGGAGCGAACAGG